CCUGCUUCCAGGAAAAGCCUCUAAGCAUCAGGUAACAUCAAAUCGUACCCCAAACCGACACAGGUGGUCAGGUAGAGAAUACCAAGGCGCUUGAGAGAACUCGGGUGAAGGAACUAGGCAAAAUGGUGCCGUAACUUCGGGAGAAGGCACGCUGAUAUGUAGGUGAAGUCCCUCGCGGAUGGAGCUGAAAUCAGUCGAAGAUACCAGCUGGCUGCAACUGUUUAUUAAAAACACAGCACUGUGCAAACACGAAAGUGGACGUAUACGGUGUGACGCCUGCCCGGUGC
rnacentral:rRNA from 2 species